rnacentral:rRNA from 1 species
GACAGAGGAUGGCAAGCGUUUAUCCGGAAUGAUUGGGCGUAAAGCGUCUGUAGGUGGCUUUUCAAGUCCGCCGUCAAAUCCCAGGGCUCGAACCCUGGACCAGGCGGUGGAAACUACCAAGCUGGAGUACGGGUAGGGGCAGAGGGAAUUUCCGGUGGAGCGGUGAAAUGCAUUGAGAUCGGGAAAGAAACACCAACGGCGAAAGCACUCUAGCUGGGCCGACACUGACACUGAGAGACGAAAGCUAGGGGAGCAAAUGGG